rnacentral:rRNA from 1 species
CAGUCGCCGCGGUAAUACGUAGGGUGCGAGCGUUAAUCGGAAUUACUGGGCGUAAAGCGUGCGCAGGCGGUUGUGUAAGACAGGUGUGAAAUCCCCGGGCUUAACCCGGGAACUGCGCUUGUGACUGCACAGCUAGAGUAUGGCAGAGGGGGGUGGAAUUCCACGUGUAGCAGUGAAAUGCGUAGAGAUGUGGAGGAACACCGAUGGCGAAGGCAGCCCCCUGGGCCAAUACUGACGCUCAUGCACGAAAGCGUGGGGAGCAAACAGGAUUAGAUACCCGCGUAGUCCCUGUCUCUUAUAC